UACGCAGGGUGCAAGCGUUAAUCGGAAUUACUGGGCGUAAAGCGUGCGCAGGCGGUGAUGUAAGACAGAUGUGAAAUCCCCGGGCUCAACCUGGGAACUGCAUUUGUGACUGCAUCGCUGGAGUACGGCAGAGGGGGAUGGAAUUCCGCGUGUAGCAGUGAAAUGCGUAGAUAUGCGGAGGAACACCGAUGGCGAGGGCAAUCCCCUGGGCCUGUACUGACGCUCAUGCACGAAAGCGUGGGGAGCAAACAGG
rnacentral:rRNA from 1 species